UUAGCUAUUUUAGAUAGGUUUGUAUUCAUACUUCAUGGGUACAGACGGCAAACUCGUUUUUGUAUCUAUGAUGGCUAGAGCAAUUUGUUUUGAACAAACAGCCGCGUAGACGAUAUUUCUAAGUGGCUAUGACUAUAAGAGGCAUUUAAUCUGUUCUUAUCAUCCAUUUAGGCAUAUUGUCUAAAUGGAUUUUUUGUUUCAUUGA
rnacentral:ncRNA from 1 species